rnacentral:lncRNA from 1 species
GUUUUUAGUUAAUUUUGUUUUUUAACAAAAGGAUCUACCCACAGACAAGCCGUUAAGUUCCCGCACUCCACUUCUGUCACUGGGAUUCAGCAGUUCCCAUCCUAGGCACCAACCUUUGCACUGCUCAUCAAGCUAUGCUGUGGCAGCAUCCCACGUAGAAGAACUAGAAUGACUUAUAACUAGGAGAUACAACUAUGUACUGGGGCUUUGGGGAGACAAUAAAACAAAAAAGAGGAAGAUUGGCAACAGAACUUAGCUCAGGGCCAAUCUUCCUGACCACAAAAAAAAAAAAAAAAAAGCUUAUCUGAGCCCAGUCUCUGGGGCACAUACGGAUUGUUUGUCCUGCGUGGAGUUUCAAAAUUUUUUAAUUCAUUGUCAAUAUUUGAAAAUCAAUAGCUCUACAUAAAAAUCCCACUUUUUAAUGUUUCUUUAAAAGAAUCAGAAAAUCUAGCAGCACAGGGCCAGCGUUCCUGUAGGGCAUCAGAAGCUGGAGGUGACAGGCACCACUGUCCCCUUCAGACAGGGCGUCAGGCUCCUAUUGGUCACAGGAACCUUCUGAACUAGGGGAUCUUGAGGCAGGAAUCUUACAGUGUGUAUUUUUCACUCUCCUAGGAUAGUGUCUGGUGUAUGGUAAGUGCUCAAUAAUUUUUAUUUUAAAAUGGAACCCAAGUUUCCAUAUACAUUAUAAACUUUUGUUUCCUGGCAUGAAAAGGAAAAGGGGAGUGGGGUAGGAGGGGCUACCACAAUGAAAUAAAUCUUAUUUUAUCCUGAAAAGACUGCUGUUAACAUGCAAUGCCUGAGUAUUGUCUUUAGAGAAUGUCUCAUUCUUCUUUUCCAUGACACUGCAGGGGCUAACGUACACCAAGAAAUAGAAAGGUACUGGAAGAGAAGAAAUUAAGGUCUCCAAAUAAACGCUUCUGGAAAAACGGGCUUCUCUUUCAGAAAGACUUUGUUUAUUUACUGAUACCUUCCAGAGAAACUAAUUUGUAAUCUGGUCAGGAUUAUGCUUAUAAGCUAAUACAUUCAUUUUUCUCUCACCAAAAAAAAUUAAAAUGCCUAUCAUCUAGUAUGCAAUUCAGAGAAAGGGAAUUGGCACAGGAACUAAUUACAGCUCACAAAGAAAAGAACAAAAUCUGCUAGUUUGAUGAAUAUGUGUUUUCCUAGCAUUGCUGUUAUUUCCGUUAGUAAUUGCGGAAAAUAGUUCCAGUGGGGACAAUUGUUAUGGUUCUCUAUGUAUUUCUAUUCUAAGUUAUGAAUAAGGCAGUGUUCCUGGCAAAUAUUUUGGGAUCCAUCUGGAAAGAGGGAAUGAUGAAAACUCCAAAAGAUAAGCUUUUGUCGUUUCAAUGUCUCUCCUGUUUUAAAGUGUUUGUUAAAUAAAAACACACAUGAUGGGCACUACGAGACUCAGAAACUUACAUUUAUCUUUCAGUUCUGAAUGAACAAAAAUCCAUUGAGUACGUAGAUAUCUGUUUGGAGGAGAAGAAUCAAAAAAAAGCAAGAGAAUUGUGGACUCUGGGAGUGUUGAAUGCAGGUUAGGACAAGUCAGCAAAUCUAGCCCACAACCAGCUGUUUCUUUCUGGAGGACGUUAGGAACAUGCUUUGGCACACUGCAUUCUGAAAUUUUUAAAAAAUUCCGCUCCAGGGUGUCAUGUAGUCCCAGGGCCUACUGUUGCCCCGCUAUCAGGAUGGGGAGAUUGGUGGAGUCCGAGGAAUGCGAAAAUGGAAGAAUUAAUUACAAACGAGAGAUCUGUUAUAAAAAGCAUGAAAGUGUCAGCUUUUAUAGAUUUAUAACCAUGAAUUUUCAAAUAAAUUUUACAAUUUGUUCUAUAGUGAGUUAAAAAUCCCCCUUGCUACUGGCAUGCGUUUCAAAUUUAAAACAUAUUUUUCCAUUCAACUAACGGAAUACAUGAUGCCUGGGACCUCAGGAGAGCCCUAAAACCCUUGACCAGUCGUAGAAUUGCCCAAAUACUGUAUAUUUUAAAUGAAACAGAAAUAGGACAAAACAGAAAAAAUUGAAUUGGUUUUUGAAAUAGAUUAAUAUUUAUCUUAAAGGCUGGUUCUUGAGAUAGAAAGAAAUUAAUCAGAAGUAGUGAAACAGAUUAGUAAGACAAUUAUGAAGAUCUAUUUAGUCGAUUACAGGGACUUUAAAGUUUUUUUCCUCCCUGAUUUUAUAGAUUUCUUGUCCCUUGACAUAGGCGUAUCAUUAUUGAUAUCCUUGUGUUUAUCAGCUAUAGCUAAGGUUGUGGAAAGAGAGAUUUUCCUUAGGUAACUGGCACAAAUUGGAAAGGAGGAGAAUUAAAGGGUAUGUAUGUAAAGACGUCAGAGAGGUAAAAAUUUCAGUGAAAUAGCUUGAGUUGAUGACAAAUAGAACCACACCUGGGAGCAUGAGCGGACAUGCAUCCCCAAGAGAAGUUCUGGAGAGUGAGGUGCGGUCUGGGGCCUGUCUGUUGGUGAAGAGACACAGAACAUUGAUGAGGCUUCUGCUGGUGCUUCAUGAACUGGGGAGCCAGCUGGUGGUUUUCAAACUCUAUCACCAGGGCUCCCCAUAGAGCAUGGCAUGCAGCAGAGGUUGGUGAAUGUUUGUGGAAUAAGUGAGUGAAUGUAUGAACGGGCAAGUGACUCCUGACCCCUGGGGGAGUCUUGUGUCUUCACAUCAACCUUCCCAGAUCCUGGCAGAGUUGGCGGGUCAGGGCAGGUCAGGAAGGCCCUUCUGCCCAGGGCACCCUGGCCCCUCUCUACGCCUUGGGAGGACGGCUCAGGCUUGGGCUCUGCAUCCUUCCUCAGCCUGGCUUCUCUACCCCUCCAGGCUCUGAGAAAACUUUCCAAGGUGUAUCCUCACAUUUGUAGGUGAGAUAGGGAGGUGCAGAGAGGUCCAGGCAACUUUUCCAAGAGGGCUCAGCAAGAGCAGAUCUCUGACCCCUUUGGAGCUGCAAGAUAGAGUUUGAGAUGCGGAGAGCUAACUGAUCUUCUAGUGGUUACAUAGCGACAGAGCGGGACAGACUGGGAGCCAAAGACUCGGAUCACAAGGCCAGCGCUCUUGCUCCCAGUUGAUACUUAGCACGGCAACAUCUAUCCAGGAGCGUGUUUUCAUUGUAGGCAGAGCAUCAAGCUGAGCCUGGAUCUCAGCCUCUACAGCCCUUGUUCUCCUGCAGCUGGGCCUCCUUAAACUCCACCUACAAACCCGGCCUUGCCUUGGAUCAUUAUGUUGCCACCAGCCUGGCGCUGGCCCUGGUCCCUGCCUCAUUCUCGAAUCCCCGUUAUCCCCAGGCCGGGGCCUCGUGGAGCUCCCUUCCAAAGACCCUGAUGGCCUGCUCCUGCUUCCCCACAUCCCUGGCCUGGGACUCAAGACCUGCCUCUACUCUGACCUUCCACUUUGCUCCCCGCUGGUUGCUGCCCAUGUCAUGUAUUCAGCCUGGACUGAGCACCCUGCAGGUGCAGGCACAUGUUAACUGUGAGGAUUCAGCAGCAAGCAAACUGGAGCCCUGCCUUCAUGAAGCUUACAGUCCGUCAGGUACAACCGACGUUGGACAGGGAUGACAAAUUUGACGACUGCCACAAAACGAGGACCGCAGGGGACUGAGGGGGCUGAUCUAGACUGGGGAGCAGAAGUUGGUUAAAGCCUCCUGACAAACCUUUGGGUGACACUGUCAUUUGCACAGAAGAUUGGAAUUUGCACACCUGAAGCUGGAUCAGCUUUUCCAACUUCUAUCCCUCCUUGUGGUCUCACGUGAAGUUCCAGCCUGUCCCUCCCCUCUGUACGCAGCAGUAAAUCACAGACCACUCUCAUCUCACGGUGCCAAAAAAAUAAUAUAUCUUAUAAACACAUCCUCUGUUUGGAGCGUAUUAUUCAUUUAAACUGAAAACAGUUGUUUUCCAUUUUUUCCUUUAAUUCACACCUUUCCAAGAACAGUGUGCCUUUUAUAAAAGACAACCUACCAGAAAUGGGCAUUGUGAAAAUGAGUCACCCUAGCAGCAAACUGGCACACAAGGCUUACCUGAGAUAAGAGAAUAUAUUUGGGAAUAUAUUGCUGAUUGACUGACUGUUAAUUCAAUUGUUGAAACGUGGAUCGCCAUCUGAACUAUGUUUCCACAUGGGUCCAUUCCUGGGCUUUUAGGAAGCACUUAAAGGAUUCCUGACUUUGUCAUCUACGCACUGAGUCCUCUGUGGGCUGGGCUGAGUGAGCAGAGUUUGAAUUUCCAGGGUCCCCAGCUCCUUUAAGGCCUUGGAAACAUCUAUAGAACCUGCACUGGUCCUGGAAAGGCCGGGUGAGGGGGGCACCCUGCAAAUCCCAACAGGAUCCAGCCAGGAGGAGGGGGGACUCGCUGUGCUUUAGGCUUGGGCGGGGAAGGAAGCGAGCAGAGGCUAAGAGCAUCCAAUAUGACAGUGUGAAACUGUAGUUUUGGCUUUCCGCCAAAGGCAAGAAAGAGUCUGAUUAUGUUGCAUAGUUUAGGAUUCUCUUUCUAUUCCACUGAAAAUGAGGAGGCAAAAGGCUUGUCUUUGUCAUAAGAAAUCAAUUUCUUAACUGCCAUUCUGCUUAACACAAUGGUUUUCUGCUAUAUCCUUUAAAAUACCAUUUGUUAGUAUGAAUACAGAAUAAAUUCCAAUCCAUGUUUAAUUCUUCAAAAAUCAUCUUUUGCUAAAGGAUAUAAAAAGGCAUAUGGAUGAGCAUUUUAAUCACAGCUACUAUUUCCAGGGCUUGAGUGAAAAGAAAUAUGUUAAUGGCGUACAUGGCUGAGCAGACAAGUCUAGAAAUAUUUCCAAUUGCCAAAAUUAUCUCUUCUGCUGCAACAAGAAUAUAACUGAAAGAAUAAAUUACCAUAGUGGCACACCUCAUCCAGGUUACCUUUCUGGAGGUUAAAUUGUCACUCUUUGAAUGGAGGUUACAGAAUAUAUAUUGCCAGUCACAACACAGGCCAUGAUUGAAUCAG